ensembl:rRNA 5S_rRNA 5S ribosomal RNA
AAGGCCCUUCAUGGGGCGCAGGCGCCGCAUCCACCAGGGACUGUGAAGCUAAGCAGGGUCUCUCGCAGUUAGCACUUGGAUGGGACACCACCUUGCGCCCUCCGCCAGCUUCU